GUGGAGACACAGCCAAACCAUAUCCCUUUUAUAUGAAAAUCCAGGUGGGCAGAUUUUUCUCUCAGCAGCUGUUCCCUGCAGAGUCUCCUUGCAGAGCCUUUCCUUGGACUUUCCAAAUCCAGCCCUUGGCUAAGGACUGACAGCAUCUCUCAGGCAGACCACUGCCUGCCCCUACCCUGUGCAGCUUCCUCCCACACAGCCUCACCCACAAACCCACCUUUCUCCACAGCCACAAACUCCGAUCUCUGCCUUCUUAGAGCAGAGAGGCCAUUCCUCUCCACGUGGUCUCACCUCCCUGCACCCUAACUGAAACCUGGGAGUGAGGGGAAAGAGGAGCUCAGGUCAUGUGCCUCCCGCCUCUCAAGGAUGGCAGCCUUGCGCUGGCUGUAGCAGAAUACCGGAAAAGAUCUGCCUAAGGGCCAUAUUAUUUCAUUUCCACUCCACAAAUCCAACAUAGUUAAUUGGGUUUGAUAUUAAUGAGCUUGUACAGCUAAAACAUGGAAAUAUAAUAACUACUGUUGAUCGAUCUUUCAGCCCCGUCACGAAGGGCCCUCGUAACUGGACCUCAUGCCAAACAACUCGUUACAAAAAGAGCUAGGGUCUCAGACCACGCAGAAGCUUCAUGAGACCCCUCCUUGUCUGCAUGGACAAGUGGUCGACUCUGGAUCCCAAGAUGUUGCUUCCCAGUUUGGUGGUGAAUCCUCCAUAGUCUGCUAACUGAAAGGCUCAACACUCCAGUGAAGAAGAAACCACAAAUGAUGAACAAAUGUUUUGUCACUCUUUCAGAUUCAGAAAUUUUGCUUGAAAAAAGUCUGAAGAAACUAAUUUAGGAAAGAAACCUCUGCCAAUAACUCUAAAGAGUUUGAAUUGGUUGCCUUUAUUCCUAACACUAUGAUGUUUUGGGAUAGGAACUAGUAGAUGGUAUUUUUUCUUUCCCAUUGGCAGUAUAUCAUUUACAACAGAUGUUCCCGACUCAGGAUAAAAUGUAACUGGCAGCCAGAGUCACCCACCAGCCCCUGAGGAAAGGGCUCAACCUUGAGAACAUCUGGCUGGCUUCAAGAAGGUCACACAAAUACAAGAUGAUGCUGAGGAUAAGACAAGUGGUUUUGAGAGAGGAAAACCUUUAAAAAUAUUUGGAAGAGUCCUGAAGACCAAUAAAAUAAAGACACUGCAAUACUUCAUGGACACCAGAGAGCAAUUUAACACUGAAAUGAAAGCAACAUGUUGCACCUGAACACUGAAAAAAGCCCAUGUGUUAAGAGGAAGAAGAAAUAUGCAAUUCACUGCAAUAAAUAUUGAACCUUUAAAAAACAGAAGGAACAUGAAAACUAAAGGACACUGGGCCACAGCAAAUAAGGUGGCGGCAGCCAUCCCAUAAUGAUUACAUGAUCUCCAUGAUUGUAAAAUGUAUAUGCCACCUGAAUUUAUUCUUAGACCUUCUCUCAAAGAUGUCUGCAUUCAACACAGGCAAUAACUGCAGGUAAUAGUGAAGAAUCCUUCAGGCAUGAUAGAGGAACAGACUAAGUGUGGGAAAAGGAAGAACUAGGCCGGGCGCGGUGGCUCACGCCUGUAAUCCCAGCACUUUGGGAGGCCGAGGCGGGCGGA
rnacentral:lncRNA from 1 species